GACAGAGGGGGCAAGCAUUGCUCGGAAUCACUGGGCGUAAAGGGCGCGUAGGCGGGAUGGCAAGUCAGUCGUGAAAUCUCUCGGCUCAACCGAGAAACGUCGGCUGAUACUGCCGUUCUUGAGGGAUGCAGAGGAGACUGGAAUUCCCGGUGUAGCGGUGAAAUGUGUAGAGAUCGGGAGGAACACCGGUGGCGAAGGCGGGUCUCUGGGACGUUACUGACGCUGAGACGCGAAAGCGUGGGGAGCAAACAGG
rnacentral:rRNA from 1 species